rnacentral:rRNA from 1 species
CCUACGGGUGGCAGCAGUGAGGAAUAUUGGUCAAUGGGCGGAAGCCUGAACCAGCCAAGUAGCGUGCAGGAUGACGGCCCUACGGGUUGUAAACUGCUUUUAUACGGGAAUAACGCGCCUUACGUGUAGGGCUUUGCAUGUACCGUAUGAAUAAGGACCGGCUAAUUCCGUGCCAGCAGCCGCGGUAAUACGGAGGGUCCGGGCGUUGUCCGGCUUUAUUGGGUUGAAAGGGCGCGGCGGCCGCAUGUCAAGCGUGCUGUGAAAUGUCCGGGCUCAACCCGGGCCUUGCAGCGCGAACUGGCGUGCUUGAGUCCGCGGAAAGCAGGCGGAAUGCGUCGUGUAGCGGGGAAAUGCUUAGAUAUGACGAAGAACCCCGAUUGCGAAGGCAGCUUGCUGCAGCGGAACUGACGCUGAUGCUCGAAAGCGCGGGUAUCGAACAGGAUUAGAUACCCCUGUAGUC